AGAUCAUUUUGUGGACAAUUUCUUAUUAACCCUAUGUAUCGCUCCCAAGCCUCGUACAAAGACUCACCCACUUGUUGCUCAAAAUUAGCUAUGGCUUUCUUGAGCUU